rnacentral:rRNA from 1 species
CGCGUAGGCGGAUCGACCAGUCAGGGGUGAAAUCCCGGGGCUCAACCUCGGAACUGCCUUUGAUACUGUCGAUCUAGAGUCUGUGAGAGGGUGGCGGAAUACCCAGUGUAGAGGUGAAAUUCGUAGAUAUUGGGUAGAACACCAGUGGCGAAGGCGGCCACCUGGCGCAGAACUGACGCUGAAGGCGCGAAAGCGUGGGGAGCAAACA